CACAGAAAACGUCUUGUAAAGAAGAGUCCCGUCUCUGCACACGAGGACCUUAACUGCAGACCGCUGCUCUGAGCAGCAGCUGCACAGACGGGAGCAUCCUC